GGGUCAGUAGGUUGGUCGUGCCACCGGUACGUACUGGUCUCACUGAUUCCUCCUUCCUGAAGAACCGUAAUGCCAUUAAUUUGGUGUUGCGGGGAAACAGGACUGUUACUUUGAAAAAACUAGAGUGUUUAAAGCAAGCUAACGCUUGAAUACAUUAGCAUGGAAUAAUGAAAUAGGACGAUCGACCCUAUUUUGUUGGUUUCUAGGAUUGACGUA
rnacentral:rRNA from 1 species